rnacentral:rRNA from 1 species
AACGAACGCUGGCGGCGCGCCUAAUACAUGCAAGUCGAGCGAGAAGACGUAGCAAUACGUUUGUAAAGCGGUCGAACGGGUGAGGAAUACAUGGGUAACCUACCCUCGAGUGGGGAAUAACUAGCCGAAAGGUUAGCUAAUACCGCGUACGCUCCUUGGACUUCGGUUCAGGGAGGAAAGCGAUACCGUGGGUAUCGCGCUCUUGGAUGGGCUCAUGUCCUAUCAGCUUGUUGGUGAGGAACGGCUCACCAAGGCUUCGACGGGUAGCUGGUCUGAGAGGACGAUCAGCCACACUGGCACUGCGACACGGGCCAGACUCCUACGGGAGGCAGCAGUAAGGAAUAUUGCGCAAUGGGCGAAAGCCUGACGCAGCGACGCCGCGUGGGGGA